rnacentral:lncRNA from 1 species
GGCUUAGGACAGGUCUUCAAGAAGUGAGGGUGAUGACUCCCUUGGCCGUUCGAGUCUCCAUCCAUGGAAUCCAAACCAACUAUGGUAAGGUCCAGCACUGAACUUGUGAUGAAAAACCUGCAUACGUAAAAGCACAGGAUGUAUAUAUAUACACAAGAGUCAAUUCACGAGAGAAGGGGAAAAAUGCACCCUUUUCCCUUAGCCUUUAACAUAAAGGCAAACAUGGAUCACGACAGCAUUAAUG